rnacentral:rRNA from 1 species
GGCGAACGCUGGCGGCGUGCUUAACACAUGCAAGUCGAACGGAAAGGCCCUGCUUUUGUGGGGUGCUCGAGUGGCGAACGGGUGAGUAACACGUGAGUAACCUGCCCUUGACUUUGGGAUAACUUCAGGAAACUGGGGCUAAUACCGGAGAGGAGCGCCUGCUGCACGGUGGGGGUUGGAAAGUUUCGGCGGUUGGGGAUGGACUAGCGGCUUAUCAGCUUGUUGGGGGGGGGGUGGCUUACCAAGGCUUUGACGGGUGGCCGGCCCGAGAGGAUGACCGGCCACAUUGGCACUUAGAUCGGACCCAGACUCCAACGGCGGGCAGCAGGGGGAAGUCUUGCAACAUGGGCGGAAGCCUGAUGCAGAAACGCCGCGUGCGGGAUGACGGCCUUCUGGUUGUACACCGCUUUAGCAUGUGACGAAGCGUGAGUGCCGGUAAUCAGUACACCAGCACCGGCUAACUACGUG